rnacentral:rRNA from 1 species
GAUGAACGCUGGCGGCGUGCCUAAUACAUGCAAGUCGAGCGAACAGACGAGGAGCUUGCUCCUCUGACGUUAGCGGCGGACGGGUGAGUAACACGUGGAUAACCUACCUAUAAGACUGGGAUAACUUCGGGAAACCGGAGCUAAUACCGGAUAAUAUAUUGAACCGCAUGGUUCAAUAGUGAAAGACGGUUUUGCUGUCACUUAUAGAUGGAUCCGCGCCGCAUUAGCUAGUUGGUAAGGUAACGGCUUACCAAGGCGACGAUGCGUAGCCGACCUGAGAGGGUGAUCGGCCACACUGGAACUGGGCCACGGUCCAGACUCCUACGGGAGGCAGCAGUAGGGAAUCUUCCGCAAUGGGCGAAAGCCUGACGGAGCAACGCCGCGUGAGUGAUGAAGGUCUUCGGAUCGUAAAACUCUGUUAUUAGGGAAGAACAAAUGUGUAAGUAACUAUGCACGUCUUGACGGUACCUAAUCAGAAAGCCACGGCUAACUACGUG